UUAUGAUGGAAAGAUGAUCGGGUUAUACCGAAAAAGAAAAAGGAUCCUCGGGUUAUGACGGGGAAGUCAUCGGAUUAUGCCGGAAGAAAAGAAAAAGGUUCUCGGUUUAUGGCGGGAGGAAAGAAAAAAGGUCCCUGGAUUAUGCCGGGGAGGUCCACGGGUUAUGCCGGGAGAAGAAGAAAAAAGUCCUUGGAUUAUGCCAGGGAGGUCCACGGGUUAUGCCGGAAUAAAAGAUAAAAGGUCCUUGGGUUAUGCCAGGGAGGUCCACGGGUUAUGCCGGGAUAAAAGAAAAAAGGUCCUUGGGUUAUGCN
rnacentral:lncRNA from 1 species